rnacentral:rRNA from 1 species
AAAAAGUGAAAUAAAAAACAGAAUUUGCUUGGCGACCCAUCCCGAACUCAGAAGUGAAACGAAACAGCGUCGAUGGUAGUGUGGGGUCUCCCCAUGUGAGAGUAGAACAUCGCCAGGCUU